ACAACACGCAACAUCAUCUCAGAGCAUCGUAUUUAAUCCAGCGCAAAUCACAUCCACAGCUGCUUCGCCAAAAAUUACAGAAGAAAAUGAUCCGCAGAAUGCUAAAUAUGAAUACAAAUAUGAGGUAUCUGAUCUUCGAACUGGGGACAGGAAGACACAUUGGGAGAGCAGACACGGCGAUGUAGUGCGUGGUGUCUACACGCUGUAUGAACCUGAUGGUGCCUUGCGUACUGUUGAGUACACAGCCGAUGCGUUACAUGGAUUUAAUGCCGUAGUGAGGAGAAAUGCACCGUCACCGCAUCAAUAUCCACGAACCAAGCCGUCUUUACACAGUUUUACUAAAGCUCAGGAUGACGGAAAGGCUUUCAAGACCGAUGAACCAAACGACUUUUCACAUAAUCCUGCCCAAGGUUCUUUUUAUAAUAAUCUCGGCGUGGACUUUACAGUGAAUCAUGUUUUAAGCAACGAUAGUGGAAGAAGAAAAUACUAUUAGUUUCAAAGUA